rnacentral:rRNA from 1 species
UACGAAGGGGGCUAGCGUUGUUCGGAAUUACUGGGCGUAAAGGGCGCGUAGGCGGCUCGUCAAGUCAGGCGUGAAAGCCCCGGGCUUAACCUGGGAUGUGCGCUUGAGACUGGCGGGCUUGAGUUCGGGAGAGGAUGGUGGAAUUCCCAGUGUAGAGGUGAAAUUCGUAGAUAUUGGGAAGAACACCGGUGGCGAAGGCGGCCAUCUGGACCGACACUGACGCUGAGGCGCGAAAGCGUGGGGAGCAAACAGG